GGCGCGAGGAUCCUGGCGGAGGUGCUCUGGAGAGGACCCUGCAAGAGAUAAGCUGUUCGCUGCCCACAAGGAUUGGAAGUUGCCUUUGGCAGGAAUAGAGCGGGAUGUAGAAUCUAUAGCCAGCAUCCACAGCGCUGCUCUGUCAGAUUCUCUCCCUCUGGUCUUCACUUCUCCAGCGGAGGCUGCAUCCCAUCUGUUUUGCUCAAAUAGCCUUGUGAACUGACCCUGGGUUGCGUUGAGUUUGAUUGCGAAUGAUGUGUGAGCUCCUGAUCAAACAGAUGUUCAAGUCCUCCAGGACCCUCUGGCAGCUGCAUCAUCCAGCAUCUCCUUACACCUGCUGCAGCAAGAUGUCUCAGUGCACCUCUGCCCUUGGAGCCACGGCCAGGACCCACCCGUUGCAGAGAUAGGAGGCAGUUGGUUUAAACAUAUCAUUUUUUAAAUUUAUUUACUUUUAUA